GAUGAACGCUGGCGGCGUGCUUAACACAUGCAAGUCGAACGGAGAUAUUAAAAAUGAAGUAAGGAGCUUGCUUCGGACGGAAUGAUUAAUAUCUUAGUGGCGGACGGGUGAGUAACGCGUGGAUAACCUGCCUUAUACUGGGGGAUAACACUUAGAAAUAGGUGCUAAUACCGCAUAAGCGCACAGCUUCGCAUGAAGUAGUGUGAAAAACUCCGGUGGUAUAAGAUGGAUCCGCGUCUGAUUAGCUAGUUGGUGGGGUAGCGGCCCACCAAGGCGACGAUCAGUAGCCGGCCUGAGAGGGUGAACGGCCACAUUGGGACUGAGACACGGCCCAAACUCCUACGGGAGGCAGCAGUGGGGAAUAUUGCACAAUGGGGGAAACCCUGAUGCAGCGACGCCGCGUGAGUGAAGAAGUAUUUCGGUACGUAAAGCUCUAUCAGCAAGGAAGAAAAUGACGGUACUUGACUAAGAAGCCCCGGCUAACUACGUGCCAGCAGCCGCCGUAAAAC
rnacentral:rRNA from 1 species